CCUACGGGAGGCAGCAGUGAGGAAUAUUGGUCAAUGGACGAGAGUCUGAACCAGCCAAGUAGCGUGAAGGAUGACUGCCCUAUGGGUUGUAAACUUCUUUUAUAUGGGAAUAAAAUGUUCCACGUGUGGGAUUUUGUAUGUACCAUAUGAAUAAGGAUCGGCUAACUCCGUGCCAGCAGCCGCGGUAAUACGGAGGAUCCGAGCGUUAUCCGGAUUUAUUGGGUUUAAAGGGAGCGUAGGUGGAUUGUUAAGGCAGUUGUGAAAGUUUGCGGCUCAACCGUAAAAUUGCAGUUGAAACUGGCAGUCGUGAGUACAGUAGAGGUGGGCGGAAUUCGGGGUGUAGCGGUGAAAUGCUUAGAUAUCACGAAGAACUCCGAUUGCGAAGGCAGCUCACUGGACUGCAACUGACACUGAGGCUCGAAAGUGUGGGUAUCAAACAGGAUUAGAUACCCGAGUAGUC
rnacentral:rRNA from 1 species